CGCCCGGAGGAGCCGGAGGAGGAGGCGGAGGACAGGUCGGCCCGUCCCGGAGCCCGCGGAGCCCGAGUCCCCGGCGGCGGCGCAGCGGCAGGUUUCAGGUAGAAACAAGAGUUGAAGAUGUCCAGCAAAACAGCAAGCACCAACAACAUCGCCCAGGCACGGAGAACGGUGCAACAGCUGAGAAUGGAAGCCUCCAUCGAGAGAAUAAAGGUUUCAAAGGCAUCAGCGGACCUCAUGUCCUACUGUGAGGAGCACGCCAGGAGCGACCCUUUGCUGAUAGGGAUACCGACCUCAGAAAACCCUUUCAAGGAUAAAAAAACUUGCAUCAUCCUAUAGAGGAACAGUGAAAGGGCUCCUCGCCUCUCCUCAACAAAGCAAAUUAUGAGCAGCUCCUUGGAAGAAAUUUACCUUCAGCUUAUCUGGUAACCACUGCUAAUAACUAAAAUACUCUAACUUGGAAUAAUCGACUCCGACGUCUUUAUUUUUCCAAGUUGCCUUUUCUUUAAAACACCUUUUUCUGAUUUAAUACGGAAUAACGGUCUUCUUUUCCACUCGAUAACUAUGGUGUCCUCUUGGGUUACUGCUUAAGAAAAGUUGGUUUGGGCCAUUUCGAAAAAAAAAAACAAAAAAAACAGUGAUAACUUAAGUCCUAAAGCCUUUACAUCAUCCUAGGGUUGUGCCGACCUGCACCGUGUCCCUGGGUGAGGAGCGCCGUGUGUAUAAGUCUUUGUAUAUACACGUCUCAAGGCUUAUUUCCUUGUUAAAACGUCUCUCAGUUCCUCAGCUCCAGAAGCCACGCCUCUGCCCUGUCCUAUGUACGGAGUUCCCGUACAAAAAGUAAAGAACGUCCUAAGGUCGGAGCCACUGUAACUGGGUAAGGAAGACUCCUUGCUGACCUCUUAGCUCAUCAACUGCACCAAGUAAAAUUAAAAACCGAACUACAGGCCCUCCUCUGAGGUUUUCCCAAGGGAGCCUUUGGGCUUCAGCGAUCGCGGGUCUUGAAAAGGGGAAGAGGCCCCGGGCAGGACUGUGGGCAGCUGCUCCCCGGGGGCUCGUGUUCUCUGCAGUGAGGGGGACGUGCCCUGCAGGGGAAGGUCCGCCUUGAUGCUUAAAGUAAAGGAGGGUCCACGGGAGCCCGGCGCAGAGAGCGAGAAUGUGUAAAAGCCGUGUGCUUUUCUUAGCCAAGCUUUGUGAUUUCCUCCUCUCUGCCCUGCCCUUCAGCUCGCCUCUCUGGCCAGGACGGCUGUUUGCAGAGGUGAGGCUCACCUCCCGGCCCCAACGGGGUGGACCGUGGUGGGAAAGAACCCUACAGGAGCCAAAGGCAUCAGAUUUGUCAAAUACCCGGGGGAAGGGGGGGGCGGCGUGUUCCCCGAUUGUCCGCACCCCCCAGGGCAGGCUUAGACCUGGAGUACACUUGGGCUUCAGGGUGCCAGCAGCUGUCCUCAGGUUCCUGGAUGUUCCUCUGGGUGUGAACUCAGCCCUCAAGUCCUGGGGCUUGCCCGUGGGCAUCCCAAGGAAUCUCCUAGGCCACAGAGUAUCUUAGUUUUAUUAAAGAGGGAGGAAGGGCCCCCUUUUUUAAACAAAAAACACUCCCUUAAGGGCGCACGCCAUACACAAGCCUCUGAUAUUUUAAUUCAUCUUUAGUUCCUUAAAAUAUCUACUAAUGAAGGAUUAAAAGCUCACCUUCCAAAAGGAUCCAACCCCCAAGAUGGAACUAUUUACAGCGCUUUCCCCUAGUCCUACACGCUCUUGCUCUGCCACCCAAGCCCCCCCCCCCCCCCCGCCCCUACAGUCGCACGUCUGGGUUCCGAGUCUGAAGCUGACUGGGGCUGAACAGAUGCGGGGCUAUUUUUAAGCUGCUCAAACCGAGUCAGGACUUCCCCAGCCACCUAUCUUUUCAACAUUGUGAACUGCCCUCACUUUUCCAACAUCAUGUGGAAAAUCAUGCCACUGGCCUUAACCCCUUGACAUCUCCCGCUUGGUUUUGCAACACGCCCGGUUUCCAAGAAAAUUACAGGCGCCUGUUCAGGAGCAAGAGAGGUGACAUUCGAAAUGUGCACUAAAAACACAUGACACUUAACGCUUCACUCCAUGAGGCCUUUUCCUUUAACAAGUGUAUUUUUCUACUGAUGGUUUCAGAACACUAAUCGUAUUUUCAUUCUGAUUUUAACAUUUUUCCUUAAGUAUUUAUAAUGCAGCUUGUUAAAUAUUUUUAUGAAAUUUUAUCAUACCUACUCGGUAUCUGUGCACCUUUUCAGUAGCAAGCAUAAGUUUAUUCUUUAGUACUAAAUUAUCUUUUUAGCCAACGGGAGCCACGUAGGUUUUGCUCUCUAUUUGUUGAUAUGCUUGUAGUGGGUAAGGAAUGGACUUGAGGUCCCGGGAGGUUACAUUUUUUGCCAGUCAGAUAUCAUAAAGGCUAGGAGCACGGCUGUCCUGUAACCUCUUAACUGGGCGUAGGGCAUGUUCAAGAGAAGUGAAAUCCCAUCCUUUGACGCUGGACCCAGUGCGGAAAAAUUGUAGCUAAAUGUUGAUUUACUUACAGCUAGAUGUCUAUUUAAGAAAAUCUAUGUAUAGGAUAUGCAGAAGUCACUUUUAUUUAUCAGGCUUUAAUCUACUUAUGAACCACGAUUGAACUGUUCUGCAGCAGCUUGCUUAUGAUAAUGGACAAGUGCCCCGUAUACGGUGGGUUUCUUUCCCCAAAGCACCACUUUAAAGACACACUAAUCACAUAAUAUACGUGCAGCUUCUUGGCUUCACAUCUAGGAAGCUAUUUAAAUAGGUUCAUUAUAUUUUUGUCUUUAAUACUGCUUCUGUUAACGCUGAUCUUUUUUCUCAUUCUUGUAUGUUUGUUAGUGCAUAAAUCUGUCCAAUCGAGGCCCCAGGACCAUGGCAAAAUAUGCUAGACAAAAGUUCUUGAAUCCAAAGUAUUUUAUAGAAACACAUUACACCAGGUUGUCCACAAGGGUAGAGGUUGUAGUUACUUUUUCUUCUAAAAAGAAUCUGGUUUUUACAUUUCCUUACCUUAUUAAAAUCAAAGUGCCAUAAUUACCUUUUAAAGGAAGGACCUGACCUGCUCUCUUUCUGUACUGUUUUUGUACUUUACUAAUCUUCAAACUAUCAAAGAAAUUAUACCAAUGAUUUAGCAAUUUUGAGGCAUAGGUUAGUUUAGGUAGUAAAAGAGGUGCUGAACGUUGUCUUCAGAUGCCACCUUCUCAGCCAAUUUACAACCAACAGAAGUGUUAUCCGAUUAUUCCAGCUAUUGACUGAAGAUCUUUAGAGGCCCAAGAAAUGAAGGGCAGUACGUGUCAGUCCUUCUCAAUAAAAUAUAAUACUGGAAUGUGUUAUGAAUUGUAUUGAUUUCUUUUAUGGUGGAGCUGUUAAUGGGAACAAAACACAUGCAUCAAAUAGAAUUAUGUGUAAAUUAAAAUAGAACCCUUACCUAAAGUUGGGCGGCCUGGAUCGUAGCCUUGGAGUGUUUUCCAGCCAAUCUUGUGUCCCUGUGUCAUGUGACUUUGGACAAGGCACUUCAUCUUGCUGGGCCCCCGUUUCACCAUCUGUAAAACAGGAGGCUCAAAGUAGAUGAUGGUGGGAACUUCCCCCAACCCCCCAACGAUGCCUCGGUCCAGCGGCCUACCCUCUCUACAGGUCCUGCCAACAUGUUGGUGCUAUAAGCUGCUUCAGAUAUACAAUUGGUUCAUCUAUCACGUAUGCUCAUUUAAUAGCUUUUGAAAGGCCUUUUUGUUACAUAACUUUUUCUAGUUUUAUGACUUGAUUACUGUAAUGUCUCGUUUUUAGUCAUGUAACUCUAAACAUCAUUCACUUGAUGUCUCGGUAAUCUGCGUUUGCUAUAUGGUUGAAGGGAUUUUGUUAUUUCAUAGCAUUCUCUGGCUACUCAUCUGUCUAGCAUCUUAUUAACCUAAGCACUGUGAUCAUUGUUUGGAAAUCUGUCCUAUGGAAAGAAUAAAAGCACUUACUUCACAUGUACUUCACAGAUUUGAAAGAAGUUUCAUUAAAACGUUGUUCUCUU
rnacentral:lncRNA from 1 species